CCAAAGGCUCUUUUCAGAGCCAAGCACAUUCUCAAAACAGAGUUC
rfam:Rattus norvegicus chromosome 17, whole genome shotgun sequence.